CUCUAACACUUACUAGCUGUUGUAGCUUUUGGGACAUUGGUUCAUGUCUCUGGGUCUUAGUUUCCUUAUCUAUAAAACAGGGAAAGUCAGUCCUCAGCUUACCUUAUAAUGUCAGAAUUUGGUAAAAUCACAUAAAGAUAGGUUUGUCUAUUAUAAAAUGCGGCACACUUGUGAGGUAAAUGAAAGUUGAGGAGAACGACAGCUAUCUAGAAAUACGGAAAGAAAAAAGGAAUCGGAGCAAAGGUAAAACAAAUUUGGGAUGGAAAAAGAAAAAACAAAUCAAGGGAAAGAAAAGGAGGAAAAACGAGGGAAUUUCAACAGAGAUAACAAAGGCUGUGAGGGGAAAUGCAACCAGUCAGGCAAACUGGGGGAGGGGCGGCAGGCAGCUGGGUCACGUUGCCGGCGGAGCCAUUUGAGUUCUGCACGGAGGCUGGGCGCUGGGCCGAUUUAGCUGUGACGCCCACCAGGCUUUCAUCGCCCUAUCCCCUAGGGCGCAUCUAAGGCCUAAGAUGGCGGCGUUUGCGCCGGAGGCAAGUACUCCAGGCGAACCAGGGGUGGAAACGCGGCCAAAGCACAAAUCUACGAAGGGAAGUCCAGAGACUGGCCCAUUUUUGUGUUGUGUCUUUUGUUGAACCGUGGCUCACCAUCUGACAUCAUGAGGCUCUACUUAACAAAUGUUAAUCUAAAAAGUCACAACAUGUGUCAACUUGGCUGCACUAAGUGAUGACCAGAUAACUGGUGAAACAUCAUUUCUGGAUGUGUCUGUGAGUGUGUAUCCAGAAGAGAUUAGUAUUUGAAUCACUAGACUGAGUAAAGACUAUCCACCUUCACCAAUAUGGAUGGGCAUCCUCCAAUCCAUUGAGUGCCUGAAUAGAACAAAAUGACAGAGGAAGGUUGAAUUCUCUCUCCUGCCCUCAGACAUCAGAGCUCCUGGUUCUGAAGGCCGUCAGACUCGAAGACUUGGACCAGCACCUCUCCCCUCCCCUAGGCUUUCUACCUGGGACCAGGAGAUACACCACUGGCUCCCUGGUUCCCAGGACUUCAUACUCGGACUGAGUUAUACCACCAGCUUUCCUGGUUCUCCAGCUUGGAGACAGCAGAUCAUGGGACUUCUCAGCCUCCAUUAUGACAUGAGCCAAUUCCUAUAAUAAAUCUCAUAUAUUUGUAGAUAUAUCCUAUUGGUUCUGUUUCUCUGGAAAACCCUGACUAAUACAACUACUUUAUGUGAAUGUGUAAAGUGAAGUAGUAAGAAACAGCACUCUCAAAUUUAAAUCUCAGAACUUAGAAUGCUCAAGUUAAUUUUGGAAGACUGACUUUCAAGCAUUAGAUUUAAAAUUUUCAUUUUUAUUUCAUAAUAUCUUCAAAUGUUAACCUUAAAAGAUUAGAGCAAUUAUAAUGAGAAAAAUCUACCAGUGGAGCAAUUAUACCUUGCUCUAGUAAAUUUAUUUGAGAAUCAUUAUAACCAUUUAUCAUUGGUUCCUAAAUUGGGCUAUAUUCGUGAUAAUUUGUUCCAAAAAUAAAAUAAUGUAUUUUCCAAUGUAUUCACAAGUGUCUAUCAUCAAGAUUUUUUGUAGACUAAUAGAACUAAAGUUAAUGUUUUGUAGUGUUUUUUACUGCAAUAAUAUUAAAUAUGCUAAUUAUUGAAAAGUAAAUUGCAGGCAUUAAUAAAAACAUUGGAAAGCAAAUAAAAAUAAACUAUUUUAUAUACAUAUAGAAUUCAUAGUAGUUGGGUAUCUUCUUAUUAAGUCUGGGAAACAUCACUUCUAAGUAACAACACCUCUUUGGUCCUGUCAUUUUUUAAAAUAGGUUUGUAGCAGACAAACCAUCAGUUAACCCAUAAUGAUUUGUUAUUUACCAGCAGUCACACCUUUGCUUAUUCCUUUGCCCUUGUAUGCACGCAAUACCCGUGACUUCUAACCAAAAGCAAAUUCUAAACAAUGGCAAAAGUGAUAGAAUGUCACUCCCUUACUUAGGUUAUGUUAUAUGGCAAAAAUAGCUUCUAUGAUUACAUAAGUAAGAAUCUGUCUUAUCAGACUGGAGGACUGUCAUUGCUGGUUUGACAAUGUAAGCAGUUAUGUUGGAGAAGCACGUGGGAACAGGAACUAUUCCUGAAUCAUUUAGGACCUGAGGACAGUCUCCUGCUGGCAGCCAGCAAAAAGCCUGGAACUUUGGUUAUAUAGCCACAAGAGCAUGAAUUCUGCCAACAACCUGAAAGAACUUGGAAGUAUAUUCUUCCUCAGUUAUUCCUCCGACGAAAAUGCAGCCCAGCCAACAUUUCCAUUACAGUCUCGUGAGACCCUAAGCAGAGCAUGCAAUUAAGCUGUCCCAGAUCCUUGGCCUACGGAAAACAUGAUAUAAUAAAUAUGUGCUGUUUAAAACUAAGUUCAUGGUAAUUUUUAAGCAGGAAUAAAAAACAAAUACGAGGUUUAGUGUGAAUCUUAGUUGGUUCUCUGCAAAUAACCUAUCUUUCAAAAACUUCUUUUUGCAAGGUAAGAAUUUAAUCCUGAUUCACCCUAUAGAGACCCCAGUGAAGAAUUUCCAUGACAUAAAAUGGGAAGAGGCUAUUUUGUCUUGAAUGAUGUUUUCUGUAUAUUAAACACACCUGCAAAGACCCCUAUAUCAUUGAAGAUUGUCUUCAUAAUAAGUGGCACGGGAAGUUGUUAUAUGAAUGAGCCAAAGAUGGCCCCUGUAUAUUGGCCCUACAUUCUUUUCCUUCUUUACAGCAGGCCAUAACAAUUAGCUUAAAAGCUCACCAGUGCCAAACUCAAAUUUUUACACGUUUUGAAAAUUUUUACAAAUUUACACAUUUUGCGCAAUUGCUUUAAAUGUAGCCUUUAUAAAAUAUUUUUAGCUUUUUAGGGUUUGCCUGACUUUUAUACUUGUAAACUGAACUUGUAAAUCUGCUGGCCAUAGAUAAGGUAGACCCUGGUGCUAUAAAUGACCCCAAGCCUCUGCUGCCCUUUAGAGCUCUCUGACUCAGAGUCCCCAUCUUGCUGCCAAGUGAUAUCACCUAGACAUAAGGCCCCGCUUCUAUUCCCUUCUUGCCUGGGAGUUUCCAUGCGCUCCUCCCCUUCUGAGUGGUAGACCUCUGGAAGGUCUCUUGCUGUGAGAACUCCCCCAUACCCCAUCCUUUAUACAAAUCUAUUCGAGUACCACCCAAAUAACGUUUCUUGUGUGCUACUGCCACCUUGUGGUCACAUUUUUUUCUAAAUCAGCUCAGAAAUCCCCAAACUCGCUACAGAAAUUGACCCUCUGCUUAUAAAUGUUAUCUCCUUUUCUAUAGAAACCAUUUCAGAGGUGUAACAGAUAAGCUGUCAGGAACUAUAUCAGAAGCCGUUUGAAUAGGCCUUGACCUGUUCUACUAAUAUCUUUUUUGAUUAGCAUUCAAAAAGAUUAGUAUAUUCUUCAGGAUUGCUCUUAACAUCUUAAUAUUUUUGUUUUCUUUAUAAGCAGGUUUAUGAGCUACCUACUGUUAUGUAACAAAUUGCCCCAAAAUAGAAUGGUUUAAAACAACAAACAUUAAUUAUCUGACAGUUGGUAGGGGUUAGGAAUUUGGGUGGAGCUUAGCUAAUAGUUCUGGCACAGCAGCUCUUAGGACAUUGGAAGCAUGGAGUCCGCUGGGACUGCAAUCAUCUGAAAGUUUGACUGGGUUAUAGGAUUCACUUAUAAGAUUACUCAAUCAUGUUGCUUUUGGUAGGAAUAUUCCAUUCCUUUUAUUGGGCCUCAGUGUGUAACACUUGGCUUUCCCCAGAGUGAAUAAUUCAAGAGAGAGAGCAAGGAAGAAGCACUCAAUGAUUUUUGUGACAUAGUCCUUCUGAGUCAUGUACCAUCACUUCCACUUUCUUUUAUUCAUUACAAUUGAGUCACUAAAUACAACCCACAUUCAUGGGAUGAUAGUUUGACUCCACCACUUAAAGGAUGGAAUAUUAGAGAAUUUGUAGAUGUAUUUUUUAACCAUUAUAGGAGUGAUAUCAGCAAUGACAAAGAAAAGGAUUCAAAAUCUUGCCCCUCCAUAAAAUCAAUGAACAAAUGGACAAAAUUAACAUUUUUUGGAACUCUGGAAAUUGACCAAAGGCUUGAAUCAACCUAGGCAAUGCUUAUUCUAGAAAGUAUAGCUGAUUCUUGAUAAGAACAGCAACGUUUGUACCAUUUAAUUUACCUCAGUCCCAUUCUCCAAUCCUUGGCUAAACGUUAGCAGUGAAAACAAGAGCCCACAUUCUUGGGACUGGAGGGGCAGAACAGACUUCAUUUAUAAGUAAAUGUAAUUAAUUAUUUGUUCUUACCUGUCUGGUGGCUACCUGGGAGACUAAUUAAAGUUUUUAUCUUUAUUUCAUCUAAUUCAGAACUGAGCUAGUAAUAAAGAUGUUUCCCAGGAGGCAUUUGUUGAAAACAUGUAUAAGAUAAUGUCUUAGGUUGCUGCUGCCUGAAGCAAUAGGUAACAGUUGGGGCAUAUAAUACACUAACAAAACAGCUUGAGAGGAAAGGCUGGGGAAUGACAUAUCUAAAAAGGCUUUGAAAAGCUCUGUCAAAUACUUGGUAAUCUAAAAAGCCACAUGCCUACUCAGGACUGUGUGCAUACUCAGAAAAAAACCUGAGUAGACCCUAGGUCUCUCUCCUCUUGCUGACCUUGAGGCUCUAUGGAGGUAGAAAAUGAAGACAAAGGCAGAAUUGUAAACUGCCUGGCUCAGUGUUGGAGAUGUGCCCCAACACAGACAGAGCCCA